rnacentral:rRNA from 1 species
UGGAGGAAAGCAGGGGAUCGUAAGACCUUGCGCUUUUGGAGCGGCCGAUGUCUGAUUAGCUAGUUGGUGGGGUAAUGGCCUACCAAAGCUUCGAUCAGUAGCUGGUCUGAGAGGACGGCCAGCCACACUGGGACUGAGACACGGCCCAGACUCCUACGGGAGGCAGCAGUGGGGAAUUUUGGACAAUGGGCGAAAGCCUGAUCCAGCAAUGCCGCGUGAGUGAAGAAGGCCUUCGGGUUGUAAAGCUCUUUCAGUCGAGAAGAAAAGGUCGCGACUAAUAAUCGCGACUCAUGACGGUAUCGACAGAAGAAGCACCGGCUAACUACGUGCCAGCAGCCGCGGUAAUACGUAGGGUGCGAGCGUUAAUCGGAAUUACUGGGCGUAAAGGGUGCGCAGGCGGCUUUGUAAGUCAGAUGUGA